UACGGAGGGGGCUAGCGUUAUUCGGAAUUACUGGGCGUAAAGCGCACGUAGGCGGCUAUUCAAGUCAGAGGUGAAAGCCCGGGGCUCAACCCCGGAACGGCCUUUGAAACUAGAUAGCUAGAAUCUUGGAGAGGUCAGUGGAAUUCCGAGUGUAGAGGUGAAAUUCGUAGAUAUUCGGAAGAACACCAGUGGCGAAGGCGACUGACUGGACAAGUAUUGACGCUGAGGUACGAAAGUGCGGGGAUCAAACAGG
rnacentral:rRNA from 1 species